CGGAGGAAAAGAAACUAACAAGGAUUCCCUUAGUAACGGCGAGUGAACAGGGAAAAGCCCAUGCCGAAUCCCGCAGAGUGAAUCUGUUGGGAAAUGUAGCGUAUGGGUGCUUUUGCAGCAGUAUUCUGUUGUCUGUAAUUCCGUAUGAUUGCGGUCCCAUUGAGGGUGUAAGGCCCGUGAUGGUCAGUGGAAUACUGUCUUGAGAGCAUCCUUGAGUCGGGUAGUUUGAGAUUGCUGCCCUAAUUAGGUGGUAAACUCCAUCUAAGGCUAAAUAUAACACUAGUCCGAUAGCAAACAAGUACCGUGAGGGAAAGUUGAAAAGAACUUUGAAGAGAGAGUUCAAUAGUACGUGAAAUUGCUUAGAGGUAAACGAUUGGAGCCGAAAGUGGUGUGGUGGUUCAUGUCCAUUGCUGGCGAAUGCUUGUGCAGGUAAAGCCCUUUAGGCUUGCUUGUACUGGUUUUUCUGUCGGUUGUGGGCUAUCGUUCCCCAUGCCUUAACCACGAACAAUGCACUAAGUCACUGUCGUUUGGAGGAGGGUAGCGUUUGCGUUUAGUAACCGUGAUAGCCUCUGGACAUGGUCGAUUUGGUGUAUUGGGAUAAACGAUGCAAGCCGUUUAGGCGCACAUGCGGGCCUUAGUUUGUGCAUGAAUGCCAGACUCGUUUAGAGAUUGGUGUUUGUGUUGCAGUCUAACUGUGCUCGUCUCUGCGUAUUGUGUCAAUAUUCUGUGGUUCAUAUAGUAGGUAGUCCAAUCGACCCGUCUUGAAACACGGACCAAGGAGUUCAGCUUAUGCGCGAGUCAAUGAGUCGUACGAAACUCAAAGGCGAAGUGAAAGUAAAGGCUCCAUUUUCGGAGCUGAGGUGAGAUCUGCAGAAAAUGCGUUUAGUGUGGACUGCAGCGCAUCACCGGCUCGUCCUGUUAUUUUUAAUAGGGGCGAAGCAAGAGCGCAUAGGCUGAGACCCGAAAGAUGGUGAUCUAUGCUUGUGUAGGAUGAAGCCAGGGGAAACUCUGGUGGAAGUCCGUAGCGGUUCUGACGUGCAAAUCGAUCGUCAAACAUGAGUAUAGGGGCGAAAGACUAAUCGAACCAUCUAGUAGCUGGUACCCACUGAAGUUUCCCUCAGGAUAGCUGGCCCCGUGAAACUGUUUUAUCUGGUAAAGCAAAUGAUUAGAGGUACUGGGGAAGUAAUUUCCUCAACCUAUUCUCAAACUUUAAAUGGGUAAGAUGUCAAACUCGCUUAACUGUAGUUUGACAUUGAAAGUUGGGUCCAAGUGGGCCAUUUUUGGUAAGCAGAACUGGCGCUGUGGGAUGAACCAAACGUGGAGUUAAGGUGCCAAACGAGGCGGUUAUCAGACACCACAAAAGGUGUUGGUUGAUCUAGACAGCAGGACGGUGGCCAUGGAAGUUGGAAUCCGCUAAGGAGUGUGUAACAACUCACCUGCCGAAUCAACCAGCCCUGAAAAUGGAUGGCGCUGGACCGCUUGACCUAUACUCCACUGUUGUGAUAUUUGCCAAGGAUGUCACAACAAGUAAGUGGGUGACAUGGUAGCAUUGAAGCUAAGGAUGUGAAUCCUGGUGGAGCUGCCAUGUGUACAGAUCUUGGUGGUAGUAGCAAUUAUUCAAGUGGGAACCUUGAAGACUGAAGUGGAGAAGGGUUCC
rnacentral:rRNA from 1 species